CGCACGGGUGAGUAACACGUAUCCAACCUGCCGUCUACUCUUGGACAGCCUUCUGAAAGGAAGAUUAAUACAAGAUGGCAUCAUGAGUUCACAUGUUCACAUGAUUAAAGGUAUUCCGGUAGGCGAUGGGGAUGCGUUCCAUUAGAUAGUAGGCGGGGUAACGGCCCACCUAGUCUUCGAUGGAUAGGGGUUCUGAGAGGAAGGUCCCCCACAUUGGAACUGAGACACGGUCCAA
rnacentral:rRNA from 1 species